UUCUUAUCCAGAGAGGCGGAGGGACUUGACCCAAUGAAACCUCGGCAACAGACUCUUUAUUGAGCACUGUGCCAAUUUCAACAAGCGCUGCGCUUGAAAGAUAAGAU
rnacentral:ncRNA from 2 species